ACGAACGCUGGCGGCGUGCUUCACACAUGCAAGUCGAACGGAAAGGCCCUGCUUUUGUGGGGUGCUCGAGUGGCGAACGGGUGAGUAACACGUGAGUAACCUGCCCUUGACUUUGGGAUAACUUCAGGAAACUGGGGCUAAUACCGGAUAGGAGCUCCUGCUGCAUGGUGGGGGUUGGAAAGUUUCGGCGGUUGGGGAUGGACUCGCGGCUUAUCAGCUUGUUGGUGGGGUAGUGGCUUACCAAGGCUUUGACGGGUAGCCGGCCUGAGAGGGUGACCGGCCACAUUGGGACUGAGAUACGGCCCAGACUCCUACGGGAGGCAGCAGCGGGGAAUAUUGCACAAUGGGCGGAAGCCUGAUGCAGCAACGCCGCGUGCGGGAUGACGGCCUUCGGGUUGUAAACCGCUUUCGCCUGUGACGAAGCGUGAGUGACGGUAAUGGGUAAAGAAGCACCGGCUAACUACGUG
rnacentral:rRNA from 1 species